AAAAUGACUUGUAAAAUUGCCAUUUAUUGUCUUCUUCUUGUAGUCUUGAUUGGAUUGGUAUCGGCAGCUCCACAAACUGGAAGAUCGCAAGGUUUUAAACAUUACUGUGAAAAGAUAACGUCCAGUGGAUCAACGAGUUUUAAUUCGGGGUCUGAAUUAGUCCAACUCCCAUCCGGAUGGAAAGAAUUGACUAACGAAUCCACCACGACCAAAGACGGAGUAACUACGUAUACCAAAACUUGGUAUCAAUUGACUAGAGAAUCAGAAAUUGAGUGUUAAAUUCAUAUUUCUAAAACGAGAAAUACAAAACUGUUUAAUGAAUAAAAUUUUUUAUACACCAUCA